GACGGACAUUACGUCAUUAGUCUUCCUUUCAAGACACAGAAUGUGUGUUUACCGAAUAACAGGAAACAAGCUAAACAGAGAAUGUUAUUACUUCACAAAUAAUUCAGUCGUGAGAUGGACUUUCACAAGGACUACUGUGUGUUCAUAGAUAAAAUUGUUAAUGCAGGAUAUGCAGUAAAGGUGCAUGUCUGAUGAGAAACUUGCUCAGGAUGAUGGACGAGUAUGGUAAUUACUUCACCAUGGAGUACGUUAUCCCAGAAAAAAGAAAUUGAGAUUUUCUUUUUAUUGUGCGGCUCAAUACCAAGGAACUUCCUUAAACGAUCAAUGAUAGCAAGGACCGAACUUUACGAAUACUCUGAUCGGAGCGCUUCUUAGAUUAAUUCAGACAGGAAGAAGUAGUGAUUAUAUGAUACACUGACAGUAUGUUUUAUCAAGUCAGAGUACCAAUACAAGAUGCAAGUUUCCUUAGAUUCCUUUGUUGGAAAGAUGGAGAUCCGAACAAACAUAUUGUUGAGUACUAAAUGGUAGUACACUUAUUUGGUGCAACAUUUUCGCCGAGUUGUGCAAACUAUGCUUUAAGAAAGAUAGCGCAGGAUUGUGAGCGACUCUAUGACACUCAAGUAACUGACACUGUGCUUAAAAACUUUUAUGUGGAAGACUGUUUAAAAUAAGUGAAAACGGUGUCUGAAGCAACAUCUCUGUUGUGUGCGUUACAAGAUCUUCUCAUGAAAGGUGGAUUUCGCAUUACAAUAUGGAUUAGUUAUAGCCGAGAGGUUAUGAACUGCAUUCCGUUCACGGAUAGGGCAAAGGAAGUUAAAGAUCUGGACUUGAGUCGUGACACUUCCUAUUAAUCGAGUUUUAGGAAUUCAGUGGUGUGUUGAGUCUGAUGUGUUUUGUUUCAAGGUGGACAGUAAAAGUCAACCAUUUACAAGAAGAGGUAUCUUAUCCAUGGUCAGUAGUGUAAUUGACCCCCUGGGAUUUUUAGCCCCAUUCACACUGAAGGCCAGGUGUUUAUUUCAGGAACUUUGUAAGUGUCAGUUAAGAUGGGAUGAGAAGACACCAGAAUAUUGUAAACAAUGGAACGAAUGGCUACAGUUUAUCAACUCAGGAUUCGCAAGAAGCUGAAGUCUCCAUUUUGAAAUUCAUCCAGAGAAAGUCAUUUGCACCUGAAAUUGAUGAUCUAAAGAAAGGACAUCAUGUGAAACAAGGUAGCAAUAUCCGAAAAUUUGACCCCACUUUUGGCAAUGGGCUUAUUCGUGUUGGAAGUAGAUUACACAGAGCCAAUAUGCCUUUAGAAACCAAACAUCCAAUUGUUUUACCCAAGAAUCAUCAUAUGUCAAAUUUGAUAUUAAGAAAAUUGGUACCGUGUAAGUUUUACAUACAUUAUGAACUGAAACACAGCGGCAGAAACCAUAUGCUUUCUGUGUUAAGACAGAAAAACUGGUUGAUACAUGCAUCUUCAUCCAUCAGAAGGCUGAUUUCGAAGUGUGUAGUUUGUCGUCGUCGAAGGUCCAAAGUUGGAGAACAGAAAAUGGCUCAAUUACCAGAGGAUCGUUUAAUACCUGAUGAACCGCCCUUUUAUCGAGUUGGAGUGGAUUAUUUCGGCCCAUUUUAGGUGAAGUUGAAGAGAUGUCACAUGAAGCGCUAUGGUGUUCUUUUCACUUGUUUAGCCAGUUGUGCGGUACAUUUGGAAGUUGCAUCAUCUUUGUCAACAGAUUCUUACAUCAACGCUUUGCGUCGUUUCAUUGCGCGGAGAGGCCAAGUAAAACAAAAAAUUCGCUCGGACAAUGUUACCAACUUCGUUGGAGUAGACCGUGAACUCACUUGUUUAGCCAGCUGUGCGGUACAUUUGAAAGUUGCAUCAUCUUUGUCAACAGAUUCUUACAUCAACGCUUUGUGUCGUUUCAUUGCGCGGAGAGGCCAAGUAAAAAAAAAAAAAUUCGCUCGGACAAUGUUACCAACUUCGUUGGAGUAGACCGUGAACUGAAACAUGCAAUCAAUGAUUGAAAUGUGUCUCAGAUUCAUGAAGCAAUGCUGCAGCGAAACAUUCUGUUGAUGGCAAUUCAAUCCUCCAGCUGCUUCUCAUCAUGGUGGUGUAUGGGAGAGAAUCAUCAGGACCAUAAGAAGCGUUAUGAAUAGCGUUCUUUGAGAGUAGAUUCUGGACGAUGAAGGACUUAAUACGCUCAUGUGUGAGAUAGAGUCCAUUCUUAACGAUAGACCCAUAACCAGAAAUUCUGAUCAUCAUAAUCAUAAUGACAUUGAGAUGUUGACACUAAAUAUUGUAUUGCUGAUGAGAAGACAGCCAAAUUUACCGCCUGUUAUAUUUAUGAAAACAGACAACUGCUGCAGAUGUCGUUGGAGCAAGUGCAGUACAUGGCCAAUCUAUUUUGGCGUCGGUGGGUGAAAGAAUACUUACCAUAACUGCAAGAACGUCAGAAGUGGCAUAAGGUGAAAAGGAACCUGAAUGUCGGUAAUGUGAUCUUGGUAGCUGAUUCGAACGCUCCUCGUAAUUCAUGACCCAUGGCUAUAGUUCUCGAUACUAUUCCUGGUCGUUUCGGUUUAGUACUUCAAGUAAAAGUGAAAACAGCAACACACAUUUUGAUGCGCCCAAUAGACAAACUUUGUGUAGUUCUCAAGACAGAUGAACCUUGAUUUGUGAAGUAAUUCAGUGACUGAAACUGUUGUAAUUGAUUUCAAAUCUAUUAUUUAUUUGGAACAAUUAUUUGUCAUCUGGUGAAGUUAUUUAUUUGCCAUGUAUAUACAUUUCAGCUAGUUUUUAAAGUGGAUUUUGUAAUUGAGUCACAUAAUGUUUCACAAUUAGGGGGCUGGAUUGUUAUGGCCCAUUUAACAUUGUACAAAACAUUUCUCCGGAUUUUUCAAUUCCGCAUUUUCCAAUUUUAUUUGAAUAUUACAUUGAUCCGGUUUAGCUUGGAUUUUACCUUUUCGCGGGUGCACUAGCUUCAGUACAAUUUACCAGCUAUUUAGAUUUACUAGUCACCUGUGCUGAAUGCCCUACAUUUUCAUAUGAGAGAAACUUCUAAGACGUAAAACACACACACAAACACGUAUUCGUACAUGUACACAUGGAUGUAUGUUGAGAUGUUUACUAGAAUAAUAAAGAUGUGCAUUUAGAAUGAAGUUGACUUUGAACUGGGGGUAUCAGUACAUCGUACAAAGGGAUGGAACUUACAGAUCAGCUUUAGAACACUCGACUUUGUGAGUGCCAUCAUUCGCAAUUCCGACUGCAAGACUGGACAAAAGUGAUGUUCAGUGAUGAGUCUCGUUUUAUAUUUGAAAGUCGCCGACCGUAGGACCCGCGUAUGGAGUAUGUUUAUCGGAUGUUGUGUGACGGAAGUAGACAUAUUUAUGGGUAAACUUACAAUUGUUUGGGGACUAAUUUGUGACAGAAAUCGUACUCCACUUUUUGUAGUGAAUGUUACUCGUACAGAACAACAAUACAGAGAUGGAAUUUUCACUCCAGUAUAUGUAGUGUACCGGUAGUGUACCUGCAUAACAACGGUUCAGGAUUAUCAUUCUAGCAAGACGACGCAACUUUACGCACGACAUGAGCAUGAAGAAACAUCUUGAACCAAAAUAAUGUCAAUAUUUUAGACUGGCCCUCAAAAUCGGAUCUAUAUCGAAUCAAGUACUUGUGGGAUGCGUUAGGGAGAAGAGUCAGGAUGCACAAAAUCCAGCCACAGAAUCUUCAGCAACUGGCGGCGGCACUUGAUGAUAAAUGGAAUAGCAUCCCGGGAAUGACAUUAGACGCUGCACAUCAUCUAUGCGUCGCAGAUGUGUUGCAGUAUUGAAUACAGGUCACAUACGAUACUGCUUUAUAUCCAAGUUAAGAUACUGUUAAACGCUAGUACUUUGUGAUGAUUACGAAGGAUGUCUGUAACUUUAGAUUUUUUAUAAAAUAACAGGCAGCAAACUGAACUG